rnacentral:rRNA from 1 species
UAUGACGCGUAACUGGUCUGAGAGGAUGAUCAGUCACAUUGGAACUGAGACACGGUCCAAACUCCUACGGGAGGCAGCAGUAAGGAAUAUUGCGCAAUGGGGGAAACCCUGACGCAGCAACGCCGCGUGGAGGAUGACACUUUUCGGAGCGUAAACUCCUUUUAUCAGGAAAGAAUAAUGACGGUACCUGAUGAAUAAGCACCGGCUAACUCCGUGCCAGCAGCCGCGGUAAUACGGGGGGUGCAAGCGUUACUCGGAAUCACUGGGCGUAAAGGACGCGUAGGCGGAUUAUCAAGUCUUUUGUGAAAUCUAGUGGCUUAACCACUAAACUGCUUAGGAAACUGAUAGUCUAGAGUAGGGGAGAGGUAGAUGGAAUUCUUGGUGUAGGGGUAAAAUCCGUAGAGAUCAAGAAGAAUACCCAUUGCGAAAGCGAUCUGCUGGAACCUAACUGACGCUGAGGCGUGAAAGCGUGGGUAGCAAACAGGAUUAGAUACC